CCUACGGGUGGCAGCAGCAGUGGGGAAUAUUGCACCAUGGGCGCAAGCCUGAUGCAGCCAUGCCGCGUGUGUGAAGAAGGCCUUCGGGUUGUAAAGCACUUUCAGCGGGGAGGAAGGCGUUAAGGUUAAUAACCUUGGCGAUUGACGUUACCCGCAGAAGAAGCACCGGCUAACUCCGUGCCAGCAGCCGCGGUAAUACGGAGGGUGCAAGCGUUAAUCGGAAUUACUGGGCGUAAAGCGCACGCAGGCGGUCUGUCAAGUCGGAUGUGAAAUCCCCGGGCUCAACCUGGGAACUGCAUUCGAAACUGGCAGGCUAGAGUCUUGUAGAGGGGGGUAGAAUUCCAGGUGUAGCGGUGAAAUGCGUAGAGAUCUGGAGGAAUACCGGUGGCGAAGGCGGCCCCCUGGACAAAGACUGACGCUCAGGUGCGAAAGCGUGGGGAGCAAACAGGAUUAGAUACCCGAGUAGUC
rnacentral:rRNA from 1 species